AUGCGGCGGGCGCGACCCCCUCCUGGGGGUCCGCGGGACUGCGGCGGGCGCGACCCCCCUCCUGGGGGUCCGCGGGACUGCGGCGGGCGCGACCCCCUCCUGGGGGUCCGCCGGGGACUGCGGCGGGCGCGACCCCCUCCUGGGGGUCCCGCCGGGACUGCGGCGGGCGCGACCCCCUCCUGGAGGUCCGCCGGGACGCUGCGCUGGGCGAGACCCCCUCCUGGAGGUCCGCCGGGACUGCGGCGGGCGCGACCCCCCUCCUGGAGGUGCGCCGAGACCUGCGGCGGGCGCGACCCCCUCCUGGAGGUGCGCCGAGACUGCGGCGGGCGCGACCCCCUCCUGGAGGUGCGCGGGGACUGCGGCUGGCGCGACCUCCUCCUGGAGGUGCGCGGGGACUGCAGCUGGCGCGACCUCCUCCUGGAGGUGCGCCGAGACUGCGGCGGGCGCGACCCCCUCCUGGAGGUGCGCCGAGACUGCGGCGGGCGCGACCCCCUCCUGGAGGUGCGCGGGGACUGCGGCUGGCGCGACCCCCUCCUGGAGGUGCGCGGGGACUGCAGCUGGCGCGACCUCCUCCUGGAGGUGCGCGGGGACUGCGGCUGGCGCGACCUCCUCCUGGAGGUGCGCGGGGACUGCGGCUGGCGCGACCUCCUCCUGGAGGUGCGCGGGGACUGCGGCUGGCGCGACCUCCUCCUGGAGGUGCGCGGGGACUGCGGCUGGCGCGACCUCCUCCUGGAGGUGCGCGGGGACUGCGGCUGGCGCGACCUCCUCCUGGAGGUGCGCGGGGACUGCAGCUGGCGCGACCUCCUCCUGGAGGUGCGCGGGGACUGCAGCUGGCGCGACCUCCUCCUGGAGGUGCGCGGGGACUGCAGCUGGCGCGACCUCCUCCUGGAGGUGCGCGGGGACUGCAGCUGGCGCGACCUCCUCCUGGAGGUGCGCGGGGACUGCAGCUGGCGCGACCUCCUCCUGGAGGUGCGCGGGGACUGCAGCUGGCGCGACCUCCUCCUGGAGGUGCGCGGGGACUGCAGCUGGCGCGACCUCCUCCUGGAGGUGCGCGGGGACUGCAGCUGGCGCGACCUCCUCCUGGAGGUGCGCGGGGACUGCAGCUGGCGCGACCUCCUCCUGGAGGUGCGCGGGGACUGCAGCUGGCGCGACCUCCUCCUGGAGGUGCGCGGGGACUGCAGCUGGCGCGACCUCCUCCUGAAGGUGCGCGGGAACUGCAGCUGGCGCCGCCUCCUCCUGGAGGCCGGCGGGCGCUGCGGCUCCGAGGGUGACAGAGACUGGAACGGCCGCAACAUGGCCGACAGAGACUGGAACGGCCGCAACAUGGCCGACAGGGACUGGAACGGCCGCAACAUGGCCGACAGGGACUGGAACGGCCGCAACAUGGCCGACAGGGACUGGAACGGCCGCAACAUGGCCGACAGGGACUGGAACGGCCGCAACAUGGCCGACAGGGACUGGAACGGCCGCAACAUGGCCGACAGGGACUGGAACGGCCGCAACAUGGCCGACAGGGACUGGAACGGCAGCAACAUGGCCGACAGGGACUGGAACGGCAUCUACUUGGCCGACAGGGACUGGAACGGCAUCUACUUGGCCGACAGGGACUGGAACGGCAUCUACUUGGCCGACAGGGACUGGAACGGCAUCUACUUGGCCGACAGGGACUGGAACGGCAUCUACUUGGCCGACAGGGACUGGAACGGCAUCUACUUGGCCGACAGGGACUGGAACGGCAUCUACUCUGGAGCUGGCAUGGCUACUUGCCGCUGCCAAGCUCGACGGAGCAGACGUCGGGCCUGA
rnacentral:lncRNA from 1 species